rnacentral:rRNA from 1 species
UACGUAGGGUGCAAGCGUUAAUCGGAAUUACUGGGCGUAAAGCGUGCGCAGGCGGUUAUGUAAGACAGAUGUGAAAUGCCCGGGCUUAACCUGGGAACUGCAUUUGUGACUGCAUGGCUAGAGUUUGGCAGAGGGGGGUAGAAUUCCACGUGUAGCAGUGAAAUGCGUAGAUAUGUGGAGGAACACCGGUGGCGAAGGCGGCCAUCUGGACGGAUACUGACGCUGAGACGCGAAAGCGUGGGUAGCAAACAGG